rnacentral:rRNA from 1 species
GAGUUCAAGAGUACUUGAAACCGUUUAGGGGUAAACCUGAGAAACCCGAAAGGUCGAAGGGAGAAAUUCAUUCGCGUUUCGCAGUCKGCGUGAAACGGUCGCGCGACGGAAGAUGCUUUCGGGUGUUUUCCGCGCCUUUCGUUUCGUCGAUCCGAUAGCGAACGCGUGCACUUUUCUCCUGGUAGGACGUCGCGAUCCGUUGGGUGUCGGUCUACGGCUCGCGGUGGAGUCCGAACGUACGGCUUGCCGUCUCACGUUCGAACCCGCGUGUCCCGGCUGACUCGCUCGACGGUAUACGAAAGGUUUAAGGCCGCUCUCGGAGCGUUCGACUCAUUGCAAGCACGUCGGAUGAUUGUCGGCGAUCGGACCUAGUGCCGAUUCUGACCUCCGGMGACUGUUGGCCGUGAAGUUCUCGGACAGACCUUAAGACCGAUSUGCGACGCUAUA